GUGGUCAGUAUACGUCCUUGAAGUUAUCAAAUGUGUUAUGAAUAAUAAUAAAAAGGGCCUGAGAAAGUUGUUACCUUAGAAAGAAAACGUGGUGGUGUUUUUUUCUGGGUUCUUCAAGCUGUGGAAACCCAGAUCGAAAACAUGAAAAGUAAAAGAAAAGGUUUUCAGGGUGUGUCUUUCGUCUUCAGUGAAGACCGAUAGAUCAUCAGUUUUGACUUCUCAGGUUAAUAUCAGGAAAGAAGAGUCAGAGGUUAUUACCUUGUUAACAGGGAAGUGUUUCACCAGAGAAAGGUGAGUUUUUCUCAGUGGUUUAUGUCAGAGCUCGUCUAUAGAGAUGGAGGGGCAAAGCGGCGGCAAGAGAGAGAAGAGACAGAAGACUUCUGAGGGGCUUUCACGAACCUUGCCCGAAGUCAAGAGGUGGAG
rnacentral:lncRNA from 1 species